GUACACUCCUACGGGAGGCAGCAGUGGGGAAUUUUGGACAAUGGGCGAAAGCCUGAUCCAGCAAUGCCGCGUGAGUGAAGAAGGCCUUCGGGUUGUAAAGCUCUUUUGUCAGGGAAGAAACGGUGAAAGCUAAUAUCUUUUGCUAAUGACGGUACCUGAAGAAUAAGCACCGGCUAACUACGUGCCAGCAGCCGCGGUAAUACGUAGGGUGCAAGCGUUAAUCGGAAUUACUGGGCGUAAAGCGUGCGCAGGCGGUUUUGUAAGUCUGAUGUGAAAUCCCCGGGCUCAACCUGGGAAUUGCAUUGGAGACUGCAAGGCUAGAAUCUGGCAGAGGGGGGUAGAAUUCCACGUGUAGCAGUGAAAUGCGUAGAUAUGUGGAGGAACACCGAUGGCGAAGGCAGCCCCCUGGGUCAAGAUUGACGCUCAUGCACGAAAGCGUGGGGAGCAAACAGGAUUAGAUACCCGAGUAGUCCCAUGA
rnacentral:rRNA from 1 species